rnacentral:rRNA from 1 species
AACGAACGCUGGCGGCAUGCCUAACACAUGCAAGUCGAACGAGACCUUCGGGUCUAGUGGCGCACGGGUGCGUAACGCGUGGGAACCUGCCCUUAGGUUCGGAAUAACUCCCCGAAAGGGGUGCUAAUACCGGAUAAUGUCUUCGGACCAAAGAUUUCUCGCCUUUGGAUGGGCCCGCGUUGGAUUAGCUAGUUGGUAGGGUAAAAGCCUACCAAGGCGACGAUCCAUAGCUGGUCUGAGAGGAUGAGCAGCCACACUGGGACUGAGACACGGCCCAGACUCCUACGGGAGGCAGCAGUGGGUAAUAUUGGACAAUGGGCGAAAUCCUGAACCAGCAAUGCCGCGUGAGUGAUGAAGGCCUUAGGGUUGUAAAGCUCUUUUACCCGGGAUGAUAAUGACAGUACCGGGAGAAUAAGCUCCGGCUAACUCCGUG